rnacentral:lncRNA from 1 species
AUGCCACGUUGCAGUGGUUGUGAUGCAAGUCACAAUUUCGGCUCAGAUUCUAUUCUGGCCUGGGAACUUCCAUAUGCCAUGGGUACGGCCAUAAGAAAAGCAAGCAAGCAAGCAAUGUACUUUCGUGUUGUUCAGGCCAAGUGUUUAAACAAUGACAUUGCAAAGGCUGCACCCAAAGGAAGAUAACAGGACAAGAGGAGCCAGAGAGAGAGGAGCGGCUGUCCCAGGCCAGGAAGAAGAGAAAUAUCUCCUUCCAUGAAUCCCUUUAUAGGAGCAAUCAUUGGAAAAGGGAG